rnacentral:rRNA from 1 species
CUCUAGUGGUAACUAAUUUAUUAGGGCCUAAAGCGUCCGUAGCCGGUUAAUAAGUCUCUGGUGAAAUCCUGCAGCUUAACUGUGGGAAUUGCUGGAGAUACUAUUAGACUUGAGACCGGGAGAGGUUAGAGGUACUCCCAGGGUAGAGGUGAAAUUCUGUAAUCCUGGGAGGACCGCCUGUUGCGAAGGCGUCUAACUGGAACGGUUCUGACGGUGAGGGACGAAAGUUAGGGGCGCGAACCGGAUUAGAUACCCGGGUAGUCCUAACUGUAAACGAUGCGGACUUGGUGUUGGGGUGGCUUUGAGCUGCUUCAGUGCCGAAGGGAAGCUGUUAAGUCCGCCGCCUGGGAAGUACGGUCGCAAGACUGAAACUUAAGGAAUUGGCGGGGGAGCACCACAACGCGUGGAGCCUGCGGUUUAAUUGGAUUCAACGCCGGACAUCUCACCAGAGGCGACAGCUGUAUGAUAGCCAGGUUGAUGACUUUGCUUGACUAGCUGAGAGGUGGUGCAUGG